rnacentral:rRNA from 1 species
UCCGUAGGUGAACCUGCGGAAGGAUCAGCG